rnacentral:rRNA from 1 species
UAAGAGGUCCCGCCUGCCCUGUGACUCUAAGUUUAACGGCCGCGGUAUUUUGACCGUGCGAAGGUAGCGCAAUCACUUGUCUUUUAAAUGGAGACCUGUAUGAAUGGCAUAACGAGGGCUUAGCUGUCUCCUUUCUCUAGUCAAUGAAAUUGAUCUCCCCGUGCAGAAGCGGGGAUAAAACCAUAAGACGAGAAGACCCUAUGGAGCUUUAGACGCCAAGACAGACCAUGUUAAACACCUCCCCACAAGGAGCCCAAACCAAAUGGUACCUGCCCUAGUGUCUUUGGUUGGGGCGACCGCGGGGAAACAUAAAACCCCCAUGUGGAAUGGGAGCACCCUCUCCUACAACUAAGAGCUACGGCUCUAAUGAACAGAAUUUCUGACCAACAAGAUCCGGCAAUGCCGAUCAACGGACCGAGUUACCCUAGGGAUAACAGCGCAAUCCCCUUUUAGAGCCCAUAUCGACAAGGGGGUUUACGACCUCGAUGUUGGAUCAGGACAUCCUAAUGGUGCAGCCGCUAUUAAGGGUUCGUUUGUUCAACG